UACGUAGGGGGCUAGCGUUGUCCGGAAUCACUGGGCGUAAAGCGCACGUAGGCGGACUCUUAAGUCGGUGGUGAAAUCCUGGAGCUCAACUCCAGAACUGCCUUCGAUACUGAGAGUCUCGAGUCCGGGAGAGGUGAGUGGAACUGCGAGUGUAGAGGUGAAAUUCGUAGAUAUCGGGAGGAACACCGGUGGCGAAGGCGGCGACCUGGGUCGAUACUGACGCUGAGGUGCGAAAGCGUGGGUAGCAAACAGG
rnacentral:rRNA from 1 species